GAGUUCAAACUUUUUUUUUCGAUUUUUAUGAUCCGUUCGCCUGGGCGAUUGCCAUUUAACUGUAAAAAGGAUUUUCUAUCGAAUCGCGAUCCUCCUUUUGUCUCGCAUUCGUCAAAAAGUAUCGAAGUGUGUAACUGUAACUGGCACAGAGUUGUCUGGUGAUCGAAAGAUGGUGAAAUAUUAAUUUUCAACAAAUUUGUAAAAACGGAAUUUAAAGUGGUUUAAAUUAAUAUCAUAAGUGCAUUUAGCAGUGUUAGCUUAAUAAAAAUUAUAUGUAAAAUAUGUACCAAUGUAAGUACAUUUGUACAUUUUCUAAGCUUUUUCCAAAAAUGCUAUCUUUCUUCUUCUUUUUCUCUCUCCCUUUUCUCACGCUUUUCUGAAAGCGUCCUCUGUCGUUCAUUUCUCAAACUGCCAUUUUCAAAGGCGUCGUUUUCUGCUGCUAUUUAUUAUUUAUCGACAAUUAAAUCAAUUGCGAUCGGUUAAUUAUGCCGAUUCGCCAAUUGCAAGUGCAAGUGCAAAGACAAAACGGGCAAAGACAAGGUUAGCCGCUAAAAGCCGUCUUGGCUUUAAAUCAAAACAAGUGCAGCAAAGCCAAAAGCAAGUAAAAAAAAAAACACCAACAACAUUGCAAAGUGAAAUUAUGAAAGGAAAUUCCUGACGUCAAGUGCAGUAUGCUGAUAAGGCUGGAGAAUCCGAAUCCGAAGACAGGAGACUGAAGACAGGAGAACGAAGAUCCAGACAGAUUUUAUGGCCAAAAUAAAUGACGAACAGCGAAAACGGCAAAAGGCAAACGGCAACGAAAGGAACAGGCUAAUAAAAAGCCAUUAAAGCCAAGUUCAGGCAGGUCAUGAUGAAGGAUCUUUUCUCGGAAAAAAUAAUAAAGAAUAUUACAGCCAACUUAGUUCCUGUUUAAAAGUUUCAAAAAGACUGCCUGGAAGUAGGAGUGUGGCUCGCUGCGGAUGCCGUGGCUUAUGGCGUGCACCUUCACCUCGUAACCGGAACCGGGAUGCAGGUAGUGGAUGGUCAGGCUCGUCUCGUUGGUGGCCAUGGU